GGGAAGAUUGGACAUCUUAUGCCUGAGUUACAACAACUUCUAUUCCCAUGGCGAGACAUCGAACUUUGUCACGGCGCCAUGGCCACACCCUUUAAUGAAACCUCAAGAUGUUCACAAUUUAACAUCGCAGAGGCCUUUAGAUUAGACUGACCAAAAAAAAUAUAAAAUGUCAUAAAAUAUCUAGGAGUAGUUUGUUACGGCGUAAAACAUGUCACUUCCUGUUGCCAGCAGGUGGCGCUAUAGCGAUAUCUGAAUAUUGGCAUGUAGAUAUAUUCAGGUCAGGAGUCUUCUCAAACAUGUGAAGUUUGGGGCAGAUUGG
ensembl:lncRNA